CAAAACUUCAGGCAACACUUUUUAAUAAGCAUAUUGAAACAUGGAAGGAUUCCUUGAAACCUAACAAGACUUACUAUAUUGCUAAAGGGUGCUUAGAGCGCGUCAACCCCAACUACUCUUCCGUGCAUUCAGAAGUUGAAUUGGCAUUUACAGACAACACGAUUAUAAUGGAGAGUAACCAUGAAGUUUCUACAAUCAAGUUCUCCGAUGGCUUUGUAUCAUUGGAGCAUGCUGAAAAAUUACUUAAUGGCGCUAUUCUAGGUAACUAGACACACCAAUAUGAUUUUAUAUUCUCCCUUGCGUUAUCCAGGUCACUAAUUUACAUGAAAAUUUUCAGACUUGCUUUGUGUUUUAGUUUUGGUGAAUCCCCUCAUUCAAACUGUAAAAAGCAAGCGACGGAAAAUAGUUGUUACAAAUGAAUUGUAAGUUUUUGUCAUGCAUAAUCGGUUGUCUAUAGAUAAUUAUUGAUAUGAACAUUGCCGUGCAAAUCAACAAAGUUGUGUUAUGGUGAUGUAUUCACUUUUCUCUUCUAUCAAAUAAUUUAGCAUGGAGCAUACAACUAUUACUCUAUGGGGAGACUAUGCUGAAAACGACGGCUCCUUCCUGGAAAAGCUGAAAGACGAUAGACCUAUACUAGCCUUAUGUAACGUUAGAGUCUCCAUCUAUAAAGGUAUCCGACAGACUAUUCUGUUGAUAAAUAACAUAAUGUAGUUGUUUAUAAACUUUUUACAUCCUCUUCUCACAUUAGGUAAUUUUGGGAUCUCUAUUAUUCUCGUGAGCAACAUCUUGGUCAAUCCAAUGUUCCAGAAAGCAAUGGACCUUCGAUCCUGGUGCACUACAUUAAUCACCAAUAUGUUCAGCACUAUUACUUUUAUUUAACUGUGAUAAUUAAUGCUUAAGAUAUACUUUAGCAUUUUUCCUAGGUUAAUUAUGCACUAACCACACCUCCCUCUAAAUGGGUAAUAAAAUUAACUAAUCACAUCGUUAACGCAGGCAACUAACCUCAUAGUUAAUGCAGACGUGAAAUCAUAAAGGCUGAGAAUAAACAUAUAACAUUAACACCAAGUAGGAUGAUGAGGAGAGCCAUAGAAGUACCAUUGCCACAUAUUCUAGAUGGGUUGUUGCCUGAUUCACAGUUACAUACUACUCAAUACUUCAGCUCUCCAAAACAAUUAUUAGUUUCUAUGUUCUAAACGUCGAAAUACAUAUGUUAUAUUGACACUUUGUAGGAUUCUAUGUACAAAUUCAAAGCAAAAAUUAUCAACCUCCUCAAUAAAGAUGAACCAUGGUAUUCAUCUUGCAAAAUCUGCCACAAGAAAGUCAAAUUUAUAGACGAGGCAGCAGCAUGUAACAAUUGCAACAUUAAAAAUGGCGAAUAUGAAAUGAGUUACUGCUUACAUCUUGAAGUGUGUGGCGGAGAACAACGUGCUAGAAUUAUACUUUUUGAUGCAACUAAAUCUUUACUAGGUUGCACCGUUCAAGAGUACAUACAAUCAACCUCAGUAAAGAAGGAAGAAUAUAAGAACUACCGCAAAUUGGUCCUGCCUUAAGAUAACGAAUUCUACUUCCUUGUCAGAAUUUAUAUGAAUGAAUCAAAUUUCCAAAGGAGUUUAAUUGCUCAAGAAAUAUAUCCAUUGGAAGAUGAAGUACCAACUAUCAUGGAGGAUGAUUCAAAUAUAGCACCAUUUCAGGAAACACUUGAAGAAAAUCAAAGAUGAAACACCAACAAUACAACUGAAAAAACGAAAACCCAGAAAAAAAUAGAUGUGUUUUCAUAUGAUAUAACUUAAAAAUGUUUGUAUCUUACUACCUAAUUAUGUAUGCUUUCCUAUUUGAAAUGUAAAUAUCAUUUCACAACUCUCUUUUACAUACAUCAACAUCUACUUACAUUCUAUUGUUUAGAUAAUUAUAUACUGUAACUUACACCUCUGGCACAUCCUACCUGCUACAUUUACAAUGCAGACGUUAACAAUACUACGCACAUCAAAUCUGCAUAAACGUAUUGAUCACGACACAUUGAAAAGUAUCCGGACGCAUA